rnacentral:misc_RNA from 1 species
AAGUCGUAACAAGGUUUCCGUAGGUGAACCUGCGGAAGGAUCAUUAACGAAUUACUAGACUGACCGUGCUGGUGGAAACGCAUGUGCACGUCGGUCGCAAAAUCCACACACCUGUGAAUCUAUGGCCUCGAGUCUCUCUGAGAUUUGGGGCAACAAUUUUACCUACUCUGUAAAAGAAUGUCUACUGUGCUAAAAGCGCAAAAGCAAACAACUUUCAACAACGGAUCUCUUGGCUCUC